CUCCUACGGGAGGCAGCAGUGGGGAAUAUUGGGCAAUGGGGGAAACCCUGACCCAGCGACGCCGCGUGAGGGAAGAAGGUUUUCGGAUUGUAAACCUCUGUUCUUGGUGAAGAGGGGAAGACGGUAGCCAAGGAGGAAGCCCCGGCUAACUACGUGCCAGCAGCCGCGGUAAUACGUAGGGGGCGAGCGUUGUCCGGAAUGAUUGGGCGUAAAGGGCGCGUAGGCGGCUUGUCAAGUCUGGAGUGGAAGUCCUAUUUUCAAGGUAGGAAUUGCUUUGGAAACUGGCAAGCUUGAGUGCAGGAGAGGUCAUCGGAAUUCCCGGUGUAGCGGUGAAAUGCGUAGAGAUCGGGAGGAACACCAGUGGCGAAGGCGGGUGACUGGACUGCAACUGACGCUGAGGCGCGAAAGUGUGGGGAGCAAACAGGAU
rnacentral:rRNA from 1 species